rnacentral:rRNA from 1 species
AUGGCCGCGGUAUUUUGACCGUGCAAAGGUAGCAUAAUCAUUAGUUUUUUAAUUGAAAGCUGGAAUGAAUGGUUGGACAAGAAAAUUUCUGUCUCUAUGUAAGAUUUAGAAUUUUAUUUUUUAGUUAAAAAGCUUAAAUUUUUUUAAGGGACGAGAAGACCCUAUAGAAUUUUAUAUAUUUAUAUGUUUUUAAUGAUUGGGUUGUUUAUUCGAGGAUGAAUUAAAUAUAUUUGGUUGGGGUGAUUGAAAAAUUUAAAUAACUUUUUUUUUAUCUAGUUCAUUGAUUGAUGAAUAAUUGAUCCAUAAGUUGUGAUUAUAAGACUAAAUUACCUUAGGGAUAACAGC